rnacentral:rRNA from 1 species
GAUGAACGCUGGCGGCGUGCCUAAUACAUGCCAGUCGAGCGAACAGACGAGGAGCUUGCUCCUCUGACGUUAGCGGCGGACGGGUGAGUAACACGUGGAUAACCUACCUAUAAGACUGGGAUAACUUCGGGAAACCGGAGCUACUCCCGGAUAAUAUAUUGAACCGCAUGGUUCACUAGUGAAAGACGGUUUUGCUGUCACUUAUACAUGGAUCCGCGCCGCAUUAGCUAGUUGGUAAGGUAACGGCUUACCAAGGCAACGAUGCGUAGCCGACCUGGGAGGGUGAUCGGCCACACUGGAACUGAGACACGGUCCAGACUCCUACGGGAGGCAGCAGUAGGGAAUCUUCCGCAAUGGGCGAAAGCCUGACGGAGCAACGCCGCGUGAGUGAUGAAGGUCUUCGGAUCGUAAAACUCUGUUAUGAGGGAAGAACAAAUGUGUAAGUAACUAUGCACGUCUUGACGGUACCUAAUCAGAAAGCCACGGCUAACUACGUG